UACAUGGGGUGCAAACGUUGCUCGGAAUUAUUGGGCGUAAAGCGCACGUAGGCGGUUCGUUAAGUCGGAUGUGAAAGCCCUCGGCUCAACUGAGGAAGUGCACCCGAAACUGGCGAGCUUGAGUACGAAAGAGGAUCGCGGAAUUCCCGGUAUAGAGGUGAAAUUCGUAGAUAUCGGGAGGAACACCGGUGGCGAAGGCGGCGAUCUGGGUCGAUACUGACGCUGAGACGCGAAAGCGUGGGGAGCGAACAGG
rnacentral:rRNA from 1 species